AUGACAGGGUCCAACUCGAGUGUACAUGGACAUCAACAUGUGGAAGAUGAUCUCCCAAAAACUCGCGCAGCACUUGGUGAUAUGAUUGAGGAGAGUAUAGUUGCAGCUAUGCGAAGGAUGUUCGGUGGUCGUCUUCCUAUCGCGGGUAAUGGGGAUCAACAUCAACACAGCCCCGUUGCCUCGCUGGCCGCCAACAACCGGCAACGUCAAGAAAACAAUGAUCGCGUUGUUGGUCGUGGAAGAGAGGCAGGAGCUGCUGCCCACGGCACCCCUGCUGUUGGUGUUGAACGGAGGUGUGGCGACUUUGCUGCCCCCCAUGAGGGUGGGCUGCAUGGAGGAGAAGCUCGCGGGUGA
rnacentral:rRNA from 1 species